GAAUGAAGUGAUGAUUUAUUGUUUCCUAUUGGUUUGAUUGCCUGUAUGAUGGCUCUUGUAUUAGCUCUAUCUGAUCAUUC